rnacentral:rRNA from 1 species
UACAGAGGGGGCGAGCGUUGUUCGGAAUUACUGGGCGUAAAGGGCGCGCAGGCGGCCUCUUGACGUCAGAUGUGAAAGCCCCGGGCUCAACCUGGGAAUGGCAUUUGAUACUCGAGGGCUUGAGUACGGGAGAGGAGAGUGGAAUUCCCAGUGUAGAGGUGAAAUUCGUAGAUAUUGGGAAGAACACCGGUGGCGAAGGCGGCUCUCUGGACCGUAACUGACGCUGAGGCGCGAAAGCGUGGGGAGCAAACAGG